rnacentral:rRNA from 1 species
AAACCAACAGGGAUUGCCUCAGUAACGGCGAGUGAAGCGGCAAAAGCUCAAAUUUGAAAUCUAGCACCUUCGGUGUUCGAGUUGUAAUUUGAAGAUGGUAACCUUGGGUUUGGCUCUUGUCUAUGUUCCUUGGAACAGGACGUCAUAGAGGGUGAGAAUCCCGUCUGAUGAGAUGCCCAUUCCUUUGUAAGGUGCUAUCGAAGAGUCGAGUUGUUUGGGAAUGCAGCUCUAAGUGGGUGGUAAAUUCCAUCUAAAGCUAAAUAUUGGCGAGAGACCGAUAGCGAACAAGUACAGUGAUGGAAAGAUGAAAAGAACUUUGAAAAGAGAGUGAAAAAGUACGUGAAAUUGUUGAAAGGGAAGGGCAUUAGAUCAGACUUGGUGUUUUACGAUUAUCUUCUCUUCUUGAGUUGUGCACUCGUAUUUCACUGGGCCAGCAUCGAUUCGGAUGGCAAGAUAAUGACAGUUGAACGUGGCUUCAUUCGUGGAGUGUUAUAGCUUCUGUUGAUAUUGCCUGUCUGGAUCGAGGGCUGCGUCUUUUGACUAGGAUGCUGGCGUAAUGAUCUAAUGCCGC